rnacentral:rRNA from 1 species
UCCUACGGGGGGCAGCAGUGGGGGAUAUUGCACAAUGGGGGGAACCCUGAUGCAGCGACGCCGCGUGGGUGAAGGAGUAUUUCGGUAUGUAAAGCCCUAUCGGCAGGGAAGAAAUUGGACGGUACCUGACUAAGAAGCCCCGGCUAACUACGUGCCAGCAGCCGCGGUAAUACGUAGGGGGCAAGCGUUAUCCGGAUCCACUGGGUGUAAAGGGAGCGUAGACGGCCAUGCAAGCCAGGGGUGAAAGCCCGGGGCCCAACCCCGGGACUGCCCUUGGAAC